UCCCUGGUGGCUCAGAGGUUAAAGCAUCUGCCCGCAAUGCGGGAGACCUGGGUUCGAUUCCUGGGUUGGGAA
rnacentral:tRNA from 1 species